ACCGUCCGAUACAAGGAAACCCGAUCUUACUCCGUCCCCGACUCACAUUUCUAGCCAGAGAAAAAUAAAAAAAUCCUCGGAACCGGCAUAACGGCGAAAUCUAUCCAUUUUCAAAUCGAGCUUAACGAAAUCAAUCUAGGUUUCUAUUUGUUUGCGAGGCUUUGAGUUGGAUUUGGAGUGGCUUCCAUGGACGUCGGAGCCGCUUGGGCUCGUUUCUAGGGUUCCCCGCUUCACGUUCUCAUAUCUCCGGGGAGCGGCGAUGCAGACGGAGGCGCGGGUCGGGGUUGUCAUGGAGGGCGGGGGGCAGAGGGCUCUCGCCUCCGGCCACGCCGUCGCCGUUGACAGCGGGGUCCGGCGGUUCUCCACGGCGCACCACCAGCGGAAUCGGCAGCAGGGCCUGCAGCAGCAGCAGCAGCCGCAGAUCGGAACGUCGGUGCAUCUUCUCGCCGGAGGGGUAGCCGGAGCGGUCAGCAAGACGUGCACGGCUCCCCUCGCUCGCCUCACCAUUCUCUUCCAGGUGCAAGGCAUGCAUUCUGAUGUUGCAACUCUAAGCAAGGCUAGCAUAUGGCAUGAGGCUUCCCGUAUUGUUUAUGAGGAAGGGUUUAGGGCAUUCUGGAAGGGAAAUUUGGUUACCAUUGCUCAUCGCUUACCUUAUUCCUCGAUUAGCUUUUAUGCUUUUGAACGCUACAAGUAUUUUCUGCAGUUAAUUCCAGGGCUAGAUAGGCAUAGAGAAUAUGCUAGUGCAGAUGUGUGUGUGAGAUUAAUAGGUGGUGGUUUGGCAGGAAUAACAGCUGCAUCUAUGACAUACCCAUUGGAUCUCGUGAGGACACGCCUUGCUGCUCAGACGAAGACUAUAUAUUACAGAGGCAUUUCACAUGCGCUCUAUGCCAUCUGCAGAGAUGAGGGUAUUAAAGGGCUAUAUAAGGGUCUAGGAGCAACACUACUGGGGGUUGGACCUAGUAUAGCAAUCAGCUUUUCUGUUUAUGAAACUUUGAAAUCCCAUUGGCAACUACAGAGGCCACGUGAUAAUGCAGUCUUUGUUAGCCUGGCUUGUGGAAGUCUUUCUGGCAUUGCAUCAUCAACAGUGACGUUUCCAUUAGAUCUUGUGAGGAGGCGGAUGCAAUUGGAAGGGGUAGCUGGAAGGGCUCGUGUCUACAACUCGGGCCUUUUUGGGACAUUCAGGCACAUAGUUCACACUGAAGGUUUUCGAGGCUUGUACAGAGGCAUCUUGCCUGAGUACUACAAAGUUGUCCCUGGUGUUGGCAUUGUUUUCAUGACUUAUGAGAUGAUAAAGUCAUUCUUGUCUGGCAAAUCUGAUGAUGACUAGAGCUGGGAUCUUUCUAAUAUUGCAGCAUAUCUGUGAUCUUUGACUUAUGCCAAUGACACAGUUUUUUCUUAUUGGAGGUGAUGACAUAAGAAUAUGUAGUAAACCGUGAUGAAUCACAUGGUGUUCUAAUUUCAGGAUAUUACUAGUUUCAACAACAGAGAGAACUUGGUGAAAGGUUAUACUUAAGUGCCAUCGUAGGACAGAGAAACAUUAUUUGAAGAAUAUUCAAGCUGCUUUUCUGGUGUUGAUACUCAAGAUGUAGCAAGGUUAUCUUUCAUAGCUUGGAUGGCUACCUUUAAAGGGAUCUAGAUCUUUAAAAUACCGUUAUAGUUUCAGCUGAUGGACCAGACAUUUUUAUUUUGAUCCUCAAAGGACACGGGCAGGAUUAAACAAAUUCCUCCUGGCAAUCAACGGGGGAUUGCAAGAUGUUCUUUCCAUAACAGAGACAGCAACAACUCCCUCACCAAUUAGAAACAGCCUGUAUGAUGUGGCUAUUGUUAAAUCAUGAUUCAAAUAGUCAGACACUGAAGUUCCAAUUCAUGAUGGUGUCACUUAUGAAAAUCCUGUUUGAUAAGCAAUGAUAUAAAGAUGCAAGCUAUUCUGGGAAGGGUGACCUGCUUGGAGAUCAAGGAGUUGUCAUACAGAAUGUGCUAGUUGUUCUUGAUAUUCGCACACUUAAAUAAAGCUUUCUUGAUGCAAACGGACAUAGUUAAAUUGCUUUAUUUGGCUAUAUUAGUCAUUGUGUUUGUCAGUUAUUUUGAUUUCAUUAUCUGGUCGGGUUGCUGUUUACUUUGUACCUGUUUCCUUGGCAAUUUGGCGUGCUGUCAUAAUAGCUGCAGUCAGCCCAUUUAAUUUUAUGUAUUUUGUUGAGCAUUGAAAUUGAAGAGAAUAGCAGUCAC